AUAUGGUUCCAACCAUGUAUAUACCUCUUGUCCAUUUCCCUCUAACGUCAAAUGGAAAGCUGGAUCAUAGAUGUCUCUGCGAUAUUGUUUUGAGAAUAUCUGAAACCCAACUAAUGAGGUACAUGCUCAUUAGCUCGUCGCAUGAGCAGCAACAGAUGACAGUGGUUCAAAAGAGAUUGCGUAUCAUGUGGGCUAGUUAUCUCGACCUCGCCGAACAUUCAAUAGGUAUAAACGAUAACUUUUUUAACCUUGGUGGUGAUUCUGUCUCCGCAAUCCGCCUCGCCAGCGCGGCUCGUUCCAAC
rnacentral:sRNA from 2 species